CAGUCGCCGCGGGAACACGUAGGGGGCAAGCGCUGUCCGGAAUUAUUGGGCGUAAAGCGCGCGCAGGCGGUUUUUUAAGUCAGGGGUGAAAUCCCGGGGCUCAACCUCGGAACUGCCUUUGAUACUGGGUGUCUCGAGUCCGGAAGAGGUAAGUGGAACUGCGAGUGUAGAGGUGAAAUACGUAGAUAUUCGCAAGAACACCAGUGGCGAAGGCGGCUUACUGGUCCGGUACUGACGCUGAGGUGCGAAGGCGUGGGGAGCAAACAGGAUUAGAUACCCCCGUAGUCCCUGUCUCUUAUAC
rnacentral:rRNA from 1 species